CUGUGUAAAAUAUAGACCAAAUCUCACAUUUAUUAAGACGCAAACUCAAAAGGAUAAAAACAGAAGGUGGAGCUAUAGACAGUAUAGCCAGAGCAACAUUUUUACAAAAAAAACCCGUUUGACUAACAAGAGAACAAAGAUCAGCAAAAAGUUAGAGAACAACUACCAAAUCUCAGAUUUAUUAAGACGCAAACUCAAAAGGAUAAAAACAGAAGGUGGAGCUAUAGACAGUAUAGCCAGAGCAACAUUUUUACAAAAAAAACCCGUUUGACUAACAAGAGAACAAAGAUCAGCAAAAAGUUAGAGAACAACUGAAGACACCAUCAAAUGAGCUUAAAGGGACACUACAAAAGAUGAGACCAUGCAAGAUUUUUGCAAAUAAGAACCAAUAUAUCCUGAUAAUAGAAAGAGUUAGAAACAGGACAUCGUACUUACAACUUUGCAUAUGUCAAUUAUCAGAAGAAAAUGCUAGGUCAGACAAUUGUGAAGCUCUUAGAAAGGAUCAACACAGUUGUGACAUCUUAUUCAAGAUGCAAGGAUGUGAAAAAAUCAGUUAUCAUAAGUUUUAAAUUUUUAUAACAAAGAUAAUCAGUGCUUUCAAUGUAUGUCGGCGUAGACGAAGCAAUACUUUCGCAUUUAAUUUAGUCAUUAAAUGAUGGUCCCUAGUCUUCUCAAUUUCGCUAAAUGAUACAUUAGAUAUUGCCCUGAGCAGAGGCUCGAAUGGAAACAGCCUCUCUGCCCUUUCGGGUAGGGGGUAAGGCCUGUGUACGUAUUACCCCUCAGACCCCACUUUGUGGGAUUAUAUUGGGUAGUUGUUGUUGUUGUUGUUGUUGUUGAUACAUUAGAUAUUGAGUUCUGUGAAGCAAUAAUGCCACUCAAUCACUUUUCAGGUAAACUGCAAGGAUCAUAGAGCUUAUUAAUACAUUUAUAACCCCACGUAUGGAAGUGUCAGGCGGACACGAUCUCAUACAGAUCAAUGUUCUCAAAGGCUCAUUUAAAACGUGCUUAAGCCCUGAAGCUCAAAAAAGCUUGGGAGGUUGCCCCGCUUAAGCUGCGCUUCAAUUUAGGUAAGGCACUAAGGCGUGCACAUCCAUUGCCCAUGAGUUCUAUCUUGAAUGGAGUGGUACUAAACAACAAAUAUAAUCGCAAAUAAGUGUACAAUGUCUUAUGGAAACAAA
rnacentral:lncRNA from 1 species